GAUGAAGAACGUAGCGAAAUGCGAUACGUAAUGUGAAUUGCAGAAUUCAGUGAAUCAUCGAAUCUUUGAACGCAUAUUGCGCUCUCUGGUAUUCCGGAGAGCAUGCUUGUUUGAGUAUCAGUAAACACCUCAACUUCCAUAUCUUUUUUGAAGUGGGAGUUGGACUUGAGUGAUCCCAACGCUUUUCCUCACCGAAAAGUGGCGGGUUACUUGAAAUGCAGGUGCAGCUGGACUUUUCUCUGAGCUAUAAGCAUAUCUAUUUAGUCUGCCUAAAAACAGAUUAUUACCUUUGCUGCAGCUAACAUAAAGGAGAUUAGUUCUUGUGCUGACUGAUGCAGGAUUCACAAAGACAGGCUUCGGCCGACUUUGUAAACUCGAUCUCAAAUCAAGUAAGACUACCCGCUGAACUUAAGCAUAUCAAUAAGCGGAGGA
rnacentral:misc_RNA from 1 species